GAUGAACGCUAGCGGCAGGCCUAAUACAUGCAAGUCGAACGGUAACAGGUGUAGCAAUACAUGCUGACGAGUGGCGCACGGGUGCGUAACGCGUAUGCAAUCUACCUUUAACUGGUGAAUAGCCCGAAGAAAUUCGGAUUAAUACACCAUAGUAUAGUUGAGUGGCAUCACUUAACUAUUAAAACUCCGGUGGUUAAAGAUGAGCAUGCGUGACAUAGCUAGUUGGUGAGGUAAUGGCUCACCAAGGCUACGAUGUCUAGGGGAUCUGAGAGGAUUAA
rnacentral:rRNA from 1 species